GGAAAGAAAAUGGAAAAAAACCCCAACAAAGCCAACGUGGUGAAACAGACAUCUGAGCAUAGGGUCCUACGCAUUCCGCUCCCUGGAUGAAGAUUACCCCCAGCAAAGUCCUCACCCAUCCAUUCAUUACCAGGUGCUACCUCAACAAGAGCGCCACCCUAGACAACUGCAAUAUAAAUUUAGAGUUUUCAUCAACUGAAUCCGUCCCGAGUCAGAUGGAAAAUCCCAAUAUGAACCAGGCAGCUGAACAUGAAACCAACGAUGUGGCUGAACUCAGCAUGAACCAGGCAGCCGAACAUAGUCCUGCUCCGCUCCUGCCACUUUUCUGGAUGAGACCAAUAACCCAGAUAAAACAGAUGACAGCGAGCCCAAGAGGAAGACAUGCUGCAGUUUGAGCGACGUAGAGGAGUAUGAACAAAUUUGUUUCAGCUCAAAGGACAUGUGGCGAAGUGGGGAGAUUACAUGUGGCGAAGUGGGGAGAUUACUUGGCAUACAUUGUUAUGUGGACAGACCUUGAAGUAAAGUACACACCAUGUAAAUAAUACAUACACAGCACAAAUAAAAAUUCUCUGUUGCUUGUAAAUUA